rnacentral:rRNA from 1 species
UACGAAGGGGGCUAGCGUUGUUCGGAAUUACUGGGCGUAAAGCGCACGUAGGCGGAUAUUUAAGUCAGGGGUGAAAUCCCGGGGCUCAACCCCGGAACUGCCUUUAAUACUGGGUAUCUCGAGUCCGGAAGAGGUGAGUGGAAUUCCGAGUGUAGAGGUGAAAUUCGUAGAUAUUCGGAGGAACACCAGUGGCGAAGGCGGCUCACUGGUCCGGUACUGACGCUGAGGUGCGAAAGCGUGGGGAGCAAACAGG